GGAGGGAUGGCUGAGCUUGGUUUAAGGCACACGAUUCGAAAUCGUGCGAGGGGUUAAACUCUCCGAGGGUUCGAAUCCCUCUCCCUCCGCCA
rnacentral:tRNA from 1 species